rnacentral:rRNA from 1 species
GCCUGAACUGAAACAUCUAAGUAGGGCGAGGAAGAGAAAUCAACCGAGAUUCCGCCAGUAGUGGCGAGCGAACGCGGAAGAGGCCAAACCAGUGGAUUUAUUCACUGGGGUUGCGGACAGUCAAGAAGUGAGAAAUGGUUAGACGAAGGGUCUGGGAAGGCCCGCCACAGAAGGUGAGAGCCCUGUAGUCGAAAACGAUUUCUUAGUGGACUGGAUCCAGAGUACCACGGGACACGUGAAACCCUGUGGGAAACCGGGGGGACCACCCUCCAAGCCUAAAUACUACCUGAUGACCGAUAGAGGAGCAGUACCGUGAGGGAAAGGUGAAAAGGACCCCGGGAGGGGAGUGAAAGAGAACCUGAAACCUUGUGCUUACAAGCACUCAAAGCACGUUAAAGUGUGAUGAGGUACUUUUUGUAGAACGGUCCGGCGAGUUAUAGUAACGAGCAAGCUUAAGGUAUUCAGUACCGGAGGCGAAGCGAGAGCGAGUCUGAAUAGGGCGCAUAAAGUUCGUUGCCAUAGACCCGAAACCGGGUGACCUAACCAUGAGCAGGCUGAAGUGAGAGUAAAAUCUCAUGGAGGGCCGAACGCACGUUCUUUGCAAUGACCGGCGAUGACUUGUGGUUAGCGGAGAAAUUCCAAUCGAACUCGGAGAUAGCUGGUUCUCCCCGAAAUAGCUUUAGGGCUAGCGUUAUGUUAGAUUACCGGAGGUAAAGCACUGAAUGGUUUAGGGGCUGAUAAAGUUACCGACGCCUAUCAAACUCAGAAUGCCGGCUAAUUGAUGCAUAGCAGUCAGACAGUGUGAGAUAAGUUUCAUUGUCAAAAGGGAAACAGCCCAGACCUACAGCUAAGGUCCCAAAUGUAUGCUAAGUGGAAAACGAUGUGGAAUUGCGAAAACAACCAGGAUGUUGGCUUAGAAGCAGCCACACAUUAAAAGAGUGCGUAAUAGCUCACUGGUCGAGUGACUCUGCGCGGAAAAUGUAACGGGGCUAAGCGUAUAACCGAAGCUUAGGAUGCAGCAAUGCGUGGUAGGGGAGCGUCGAAUACGGGGUGAAGUCGCAGCGGAAGCAGCGGUGGACUGUAUUCGAGUGAGAAUGCCGGAAUGAGUAGCGAGAAUUAUGUGGGAAUCAUAAUGGCCGAAAAUCUAAGGUUUCUUGGGGAAGGUUCGUCCGCCCAAGGUAAGUCGGGAGCUAAGCUCAGGCCGCGAGGCGUAGGCGAUGCACAUACGGUAGAAAUUCCGUAACCACCGAACUUUAAGCAUGAGGGACACUUUGAGAUAGCGGAACCCGGGCGUUGGUUGACCCGGGCGAAAGGGACCGAAAUAUAGUAGGGAAGUCCGCGAUGCUUGGAGGCGAGAAAAGCUCAUGUGUAUACUAAGGUGCCCGUACCGCAAACCGACACAGGUAGAUGAGGAGAGAAUCCUAAGGCCAACGGGAGAAGGGUUGUUAAGGAACUCGGCAAGAUGACCCCGUAACUUCGGAAGAAGGGGAGCCUCGAAAGAGGCCGCAGUGAAUAGGCCCAAGCAACUGUUUACCAAAAACACAGGUUUAUGCUAAAUCGAAAGAUGACGUAUAUGAGCUGACGCCUGCCCGGUGCCGGAAGGUUAAGAGGAGAUGUCAACCGCAAGGUGAAGCAUUGAAUUGAAGCCCCGGUAAACGGCGGCCGUAACAAUAACGGUCCUAAGGUAGCGAAAUUCCUUGUCAGGUAAGUUCUGACCCGCACGAAAGGCGUAAUGAUUUGGGCACUGUCUCAACAGCCCGCCCGGCGAAAUUGUAGUACUGGUGAAGAUGCCAGUUACCCGCAACUAGACGGAAAGACCCCAUGGAGCUUUACUGCAGCUUAAUACUGAAAUUCGGUAGUACAUGUACAGGAUAGGUGGGAGACUGAGAAAUACAGGCGUCAGCUUGUAUGGAGUCGCUGUUGGGAUACCACUCUUGUACUGCUGGGUUUCUAACCUGCGGCCGUGAAUCCGGUCGGGGGACACUGUUAGGCGGGCAGUUUGACUGGGGCGGUCGCCUCC